rnacentral:rRNA from 1 species
AUUGAACGCUGGCGGCAUGCUUUACACAUGCAAGUCGAACGGCAGCACGGGGGCAACCCUGGUGGCGAGUGGCGAACGGGUGAGUAAUGCAUCGGAACGUGCCCGAUCGUGGGGGAUAACGCAGCGAAAGCUGCGCUAAUACCGCAUACGAUCUGAGGAUGAAAGCGGGGGACCGUAAGGCCUCGCGCGAUCGGAGCGGCCGAUGUCAGAUUAGGUAGUUGGUGGGGUAAAGGCUCACCAAGCCAACGAUCUGUAGCUGGUCUGAGAGGACGACCAGCCACACUGGGACUGAGACACGGCCCAGACUCCUACGGGAGGCAGCAGUGGGGAAUUUUGGACAAUGGGCGAAAGCCUGAUCCAGCAAUGCCGCGUGCAGGAAGAAGGCCUUCGGGUUGUAAACUGCUUUUGUACGGAGCGAAAAGGCUCUCUCUAAUACAGGGGGCUCAUGACGGUACCGUAAGAAUAAGCACCGGCUAACUACGUGCCAGCCGCCGCAGUAA